GGUAGCGUGGCCGAGCGGUCCUAAGGCGCUGGUUUAAGGCACCAGUUCCCCUUCGGAGGCGUGGGGUUUGAAUCCCACCGCUGCCC